rnacentral:rRNA from 1 species
GAUGAACGCUGGCGGCGUGCCUAAUACAUGCAAGUCGAACGGAGAGAGGAGAUUUCGGUUGAAUCUCUUAGUGGCGAACGGGUGAGUAACGCGUUGGUGACCUGCCCCGAAGAGGGGGAUAACAGCUCGAAAGGGCUGCUAAUACCCCAUGAGAUCUACCCGGUUAGAGGAGGUAGAUGAAAGGAGCAAUUCGCUUCGGGAGGGGCCUGCGUCCCAUCAGCUAGUUGGUAGGGUAAAGGCCUACCAAGGCAAAGACGGGUAGGGGGCCUGAGAGGGUGACCCCCCACACUGGCACUGAAACACGGGCCAGACACCUACGGGUGGCAG